AAAAGUCGUAACAAGGUCUCCGUAGGUGAACCUGCGGAGGGAUCAUUACCGAGUGAGGGCCCCCCGGCCCGACCUCCAACCCUUUGUCGAUUUCUAACUGUUGCCUCGGGGGGGCGACCCGGACGUCAGCGCCCGGACGUCCCCCAGAGGACCCAUCAACUCUGCAUCUUUGCGUCGGAGUAUUGAAUACCAAUCAAUCAAAACUUUUAACAACGGAUCUCUUGGUUCUGG
rnacentral:misc_RNA from 1 species